rnacentral:rRNA from 1 species
GUAGGGAAUAUUGGGCAAUGGAUGCAAGUCUGACCCAGCCAUGCCGCGUGGAGGAAGAAGGUCCUCUGGAUUGUAAACUCCUUUUUUGGGGGAAGAAUAGUUCUCUUGCGAGGGAAUGUGACGGUACCCUAAGAAUAAGCCACGGCUAACUACGUGCCAGCAGCCGCGGUAAUACGUAGGUGGCAAGCGUUGUCCGGAAUUAUUGGGUUUAAAGGGUGCGUAGGUGGUUUGAUAAGUCAGUGGUGAAAGCUGGUUGCUCAACAAUCAAGUUGCCAUUGAUACUAUCGGACGUGAGAGAAGUGGAGGUUCAUGGAAUGGAUGGUGUAGCGGUGAAAUGCAUAGAUAUCAUCCAGAACGUCGAUUGCGAAGGCAGUGGGCUGUACUUUAUCUGACACUGAGGCACGAAAGUGUGGGGAUCAAACAGGAUUAGAUACCCUGGUAGUCC